GCAGCGGUGGCGCAGUGGUAACGCGUGAGAUGUGAGCAUCCCCUGAUAACUUUCAUGCAAGUCCAAAACUAAUAAUUCCUCAGUGCAACUAAAGCAAUACAUCUCAAGAUCCCGUGUUCGAACCACGGUCGCUGCU